rnacentral:rRNA from 1 species
UACGGAGGGUGCAAGCAUUAAUCGGAUUUAUUGGGCGUAAAGGGCGCGUAGGCGGUUCUGCAAGUCAGAUGUGAAAUCCCGGGGCUCAACCCCGGAACAGCAUUUGAAACUACAGGACUAGAGGGUAGGCGGAGAAAACGGAAUUCCACAAGUAGCGGUGAAAUGCGUAGAUAUGUGGAAGAACAUCGGUGGCGAAGGCGGUUUUCUAGCUUAUUUCCUGACGCUGAGGCGCGAAAGCAAGGGGAUCAAACAGG